UGAGGAAUAUUGGGCAAUGCCCGCAAGGGUGACCCAGCAACGCCGCGUGGAGGAUGAAUGUCGUAAGAUUGUAAACUCCUGUUAGAGGGGAAGAAUAGUACCGGUUGGACCGGUAUAUGACUGUACCCUCAGAGAAAGCCCCGGCUAACUACGUGCCAGCAGCCGCGGUAAUACGUAGGGGGCAAGCGUUGUCCGGAUUUACUGGGGGUAAAGGGCGCGCAGGCGGGAUAAAAAGUCAGUGGUGAAAUCCUACAGCUUAACUGUAGAACUGCCUUUGAUACUUUUAUUCUUGAGUUCGGGAGAGAGACGGAAUUCCAGGUGUAGUGGUGAAAUACGUAGAUAUCUGGAAGAACACCAGUUGUGAAGGCGGUCUCUUGGUCCGACACUGACGCUGAGGCGCGAAAGCGUGGGGAGCAAACA
rnacentral:rRNA from 1 species